UUUGGGAAACCUUGAUGUAAUGUUUAAUGCACUUCAUGUUAAUAACAACAAAUGGAAUAUAUAUAUUUAUUAGGCAUGGGCAGGUAUGAGAUUUUGAUGGUAUGAUAACCUUACGCAAACAUAUCACGGUUUCACAGUAUUGUUGUUACAGCUCUGAAAUGAUUGAGAAUCAUGAGUCAGUUCGGGAGUUUGGAGCGAGUUCGCGGAUCAUUUGAGUCAGUUUGGGAGUUCAAAGCGGGUUCGCGAAUCAUUUGAGUCAGUUUGGGGAUCGCGAAUCAUUUGAAUCAGUUCGGGAGUUCGUAGCGGGAUCGCGAAUCAUUUGAAUCAGUUCGGGAGUUCGUAGCGGGAUCGCGAAUCAUUUGAGUCAGUUCGGGAGUUCGAAGCGGCUUCGCGAAUCAUUUGAAUCAGUUCGGGAGUUCGGAGCGGUUUCGUGAAUCAUUUGAGUCGGUUCGGGAGUUCAAAGCGUGUUCGCGAAUCAUUUGAGUCAGUUUGGAGAUCGCGAAUCAUACACAGCAAAAAUUGGAGUUUAUUUCAACACCCAAAGAGUAAUUUUAACACAUUCAGAGUAAAAUGGUGUUUGGUGUUGGAGUUAUUUCACAGAGUUGAUCAUCAGUGUUAAACAAACUCCACAGAGACGUAAUUAGACUCCGCCCACGCAUUUCCAAUCGUUGCUGGUGAAAUCCAUGAAGACGUUGCCAUUAUCCUCGUGUGGCUUUGAAAGUCAUUGAGAAAUUUUGCUUGCCACCUAAUGCAAAAGUUACAUACAAGGAUGCAACAGGGACAGAAGUCGAUGCAGAAAUAUUCAGCGACCUCAUUGGACAAGGCAAUGUGGUGCUGACUGUUUGCUCAAAUGAUGAAUUUUCAGACUCUUUGUCUUCCAUAUCUGAGAAGUCUGACAAAAGCAACAGUUCAAGUGCAUCGACUGUAAUCUUUCAUGAGGUCCCUAACAAGAGACAAAGAAAAGAGGACACAUCUGCACUGUCUGCAAAACAGGCAACUCCCUACUUAAGCUAUCAGAGAACAGUAUGCUGUUUGCAUAGUGAUACUGUUCCCUCAAAGAUCCAUAUUCCAAGAAAGGCUAUGAACACUUUUAUGAUGCUGCAAGCAACAUAGGAUACAUUGCUUGGCAUAUGAAAACAGUCCACAGGAAGAUGAGACGAGGAUCUUUGCCACUAGACAGCCCUCAUGAUGUUUCUCCAGGAGGCCCAAAAUGCCAAAAAGCUACUAAUUUUGAAGGGCAACUUGAUGGGAGUUCUUGCAGAGAGGCCAUGUCUUUGCUCAGCCACACUACAGAGAAUUCCCUAAUAUUCCAAAAGAUGAGAGAGACCUUUCAGCAUCGCCAAGAGCUUAUUAAAGAUCCAGGCUCUAGUGUUGAUAUCCUCUCCACAUUCCCAUGAUUCAUAGAUACAAAAGGAAUAACAUGUUUUCACAAGAAUUCAAUUUGAGAACAUUGUUUAUAGUUUAAUAUCUUCUUAAAGGUUGGUCAAGACUUCACUCUCCUGUUUGACACUGAGACAUCCUCCAGGCUGCUUCAGAAGAGGGACACAUUCUUCAGGCCAAAUGUCAUGAAAGACACCAAGCAACUUACUUCAACAGCAGAGAUGAGUCAGUUGUUGCUCUCAGCAGAAUGUCCUGAAGGAAGUGACCUUCAUGAGACAAUUUUUUCUUCAUGUGAAUUUCGUCUCUAGUUUACGACCGGGAAAUGGCAUCCCUUCUUUAACUGAUACAUCUCCUUCCACCAUCACCAGAAGGAUUGAAGUCUCCAAAAACAGUCCAUGUGAUGCUGCUGAAAGACUUGUAAUCUUUCUUAAG